rnacentral:rRNA from 1 species
GAUGAACGCUGGCGGCGUGCCUAAUACAUGCAAGUCGAGCGAACAGACGAGGAGCUUGCUCCUCUGACGUUAGCGGCGGACGGGUGAGUAACACGUGGAUAACCUACCUAUAAGACUGGGAUAACUUCGGGAAACCGGAGCUAAUACCGGAUAAUAUAUUGAACCGCAUGGUUCAAUAGUGAAAGACGGUUUUGCUGUCACUUAUAGAUGGAUCCGCGCCGCAUUAGCUAGUUGGUAAGGUAACGGCUUACCAAGGCAACGAUGCGUAGCCGACCUGAGAGGGUGUUCGGCCACACUGGAACUGGGACACGGUCCAGACUCCUACGGGAGGCAGCAGUAGGGAAUCUUCCGCAAUGGGCGAAAGCCUGACGGAGCAACGCCGCGUGAGUGAUGAAGGUCUUCGGAUCGUAAAACUCUGUUAUUAGGGAAGAACAAAUGUGUAAGUAACUAUGCACGUCUUGACGGUACCUAAUCAGAAAGCCACGGCUAACUACGUG